rnacentral:lncRNA from 1 species
UCUUGUUCAAUUUUUUUUUCUUUCUUUCCAAGUCUAGCUUCCUGACAGUAACAUACUUAGUAUUUGAACAAUCUUUUGUCUUAAUUCGACUUGUACGCAAAUUUUGAUAUUAAACUGUCGAGUUUUAAGGCUCUACUUUCUAUUCUAAAGUAAUGUCUACAAAAGUACUAAGAUUACUCGUGUAAUUUAUAACAUAGUCUAUGUAACAUUAGUUGAUUAAGAAAUUUCCUAAUAGAAAACAUGGACAAAUAAGAUUUGUAUAUGGACAGUAACCCAAAGUUGGACAAGUGAAACCUCCAUAAUUGAAGAAAUUUAAUUUUUCUUUAAUGAGGAUGUUUGAGAUGGAUGUGCAGGCAUACUAGGAACGACAAGAUUAGGAAUGAAGUUAUUAGGGACAAGGUAGGUGUGACAUCUGUGGAGGACAAGUUGCGGGAAUCAAGGCUGAGGUGGUUCGGGCAUGUGAGGAGAGACCUGGAUGCUCCGGUGAGGAGGUGUGAGAGGUUGUCCAUGGCUGGUCUGAGGAAGGGAAGAGGUAGGCCUAAGAAGUAUUGGGGUGAGGUAAUUAGGCAGGACAUGUCAUUGCUUCAGCUUACCGAGGACAUGACCCACGAUAGGAAGGUGCAGAGGUCGAAGAUUAGGGUUGUAGGUUGACAGAUUAGUAGUGUGUUCCUCCUAGGCCAUUCAAUAGUACUAGGACUAUUUUUGUAAUUUUCUAUUUAUGGUUCUUUAUUUCGCAUGUUGCGGCAUUCGCACACGUUACUAUGUUACACUGUUACUAACAUUCUUUGCUACUUGGUGCUUUAUUUUCAUUAUUUCUUGAGCCGAGGGUCUAUCGGAAGCAGCCUCUCUAUCUCUAUAAGGUAGGGGUAAGGCCUGCGUACACACUACCCUCCUCAGACCCCAUUUAUGGGAUCAAACUGGGCUUAUUGUUGUUUUAUUUGUUAUUCUUUUUAUAUUUUGUUGUCAAUCGAAGUGAACUCACCAUGUCUAUAUAUGUAAUGCAGUUAAGCUUCAGUUGCCUCGUAUUUCCAGCAUUGCUCUCAGCUUACAGUGGACAGGCUGCUUACCUCUCAAAAUUCCCUGAAGAUGUUGAGAAUACUUUCUAUGCCUCCAUCCCAGGCAAGUAGAAAUUUAUUAACCCUUUCAACUUUAAUAUAGUCCACGACAAAGAAAUCUUGAGAACAGAGGAGCAGUAUACGAUUAUAUACCAUCCCAAUAUUAACUACUUUGUAUAUAUAACACUUUAUAUCACAAGUUAUUUACUCUUUUUCCAAAUUGAAAAGCAUUUACUUCCUCUAUUCCAAUAUUUGUGACACUAUUUCUUUAUAUAAAAUGAUAAAAUCCUAUAUUUGAAAAUAUUUAACUUAAAACUUUUAUUUUACCCUUAAUGAAAAACUUUUAUCGCCACACAAAUUUAUAACAUGUUUAAUAAAGAUUACAAGUUUCAAAAGUCUUCUAUUCUUUCUUCAAUUCCAUAUCCAGUCAAACUACGUCACAUAAAUUAUAACAAAGGUAUUGAUAGUAGUUGUUAUAGCAAGUCAAUUUUUAACCUGAUGGUGUAAAAUAAUUAGUAUGCACUACUAUCAGUGCAAAAAAACUAAACUCAUAGGGUUCGUUUGAUACGAAGGAUAAGGGAUAAUUAAUCUCGGGAUUAAAUUUGAAAUGAGCUUAUCCCAUGUUUGGUUGGGAUGAAAUUGCAUAUCCCUAUGGGACGAUGGAAUAACUAAUCCCGGGAUAACUUGUUUCCAACCAAACGACCCAUAGAAAUUAUGUUCUUAAGUGAUAGAGCAAGCCACAUAUAACGGAACACCACUCAUUAUUUGGUUUGUUGGUGCUACUUACAGAUCCUUUGUACUGGCCAACAUUUGUAGUGGCUGUUGCUGCAGCCAUUAUUGCAAGUCAAGCAAUGAUAUCUGGAACCUUUUCUAUUGUGGCUCAGGCCCAAGGUCUAGGCUGUUUCCCAAGGGUGAAGGUAAUUCACACAUCUGCCAAACAUGAGGGUCAAGUUUACAUCCCAGAGUUGAACUACUUCCUCAUGAUCGCAUGUGUUCUAGUUACUCUCAGCUUCAAAACCACAGAAAAAUUGGGGCAUGCUUAUGGUAUAGCUGUGGUUACUGCUGAGAUUAUAACCACAAAUAUGGUGACACUAGUAAUGCUUGUUAUAUGGAAAAUCAGCAUAUGGUGGAUUACCCUAUUCUACGUGGUGUACUUUUCCAUAGAAUCUACAUAUUUUUCUGCCCAGCUGACAAAAUUCACGCAAGGUGGUUAUCUACCCUUAGCCUUUUCAGCCGUGCUCGUGAUCAUUAUGGGAACUUGGCACUAUGCUCAAAAACUUCGAUACCAAUUCGAGCUCAAUAACAAGGUGUCAAGUGAGUACGUCAGGGACUUGGCUAAUAAUCCUGACAUCAAAAGAGUACCUGGAAUAGGAUUACUCUACUCUGAACUAGUGCAGGGAAUUCCACCUAUAUUUCCUCAUUUUGUCAACAAUAUUCCGUCAGUCCAUUCAGUCAUAGUCCUGGUGUCGAUAAAAUCCAUUCCCAUCAGUAAAGUAGCACUACAGGAACGUUUCUUGUUCCGACACGUUGAGCCAAGAGAAUACAAUGUGUUCCGCUGUGUAGUUAGGUUGGGAUACAAAGAUCAACUUGGGGAUACAGAGGACUUUGAAAACCAAUUGGUGGAACAAUUGAAUGAGUUCAUUAGACAUGAACAUUACAUUCUUGCAGCAGAUCAACAAGUAAUAACAGAUGGAGAGAUUGUACCACCAGUAUCUGGACAAUUAGUGUCCGGAAAAUCAUCCAGGGUCCACAUGGAGGAAGACUUACAGCGACAAGUGGAUUCUAGAGUUUCGUCAACUGGUUCAAUUCGAUCAAUGAACACUCCAGCAGCACAGUCCAAUCGUUCAUCAAGUAGAAUACAAAUGGUGUCCCCAAAUUUGGAAGAAGAAGAGAUGCAAUUUGUGAAAAAGGCAAAGGGACAAGGAGUGUUCUAUCUCCUGGGAGAAGCAGAGGUGGUGGCUAGACAAGAUGCUUCGUUCUUGAAGAAAGCAUUUGUCAACUAUGGCUAUAAUUUCUUGCGCAAGAACUUCAGGCAAGGGGACAAAGCUAUGGCUAUUCCUCAAACUAGGCUGCUAAGGGUCGGCAUGACUUAUGAAUUAUAAUUGUGACCUAGCUACUCCAAAAUCAUUCAGUGAAAGUGUACUAUCAAAUACUCGCAUAACAAACAAAGUGAUUUACAUGAUUUCUUGCAGUUUGUAUAUCUUUACAUUUUUAUCCUUUAAUGUUUGCAAGCUUUCAGUUUGAGUUUGAGUAAUUUAACUGUAUUGUUUCAAACUUGUUUGGAAAUGUAUUACAUACUCCUUCUCUACCCUCGAUUCCAAGUUCCAACUUGUUUGACACUAAAUUUAUCUGAUGAGAUCAAACAUUUUUCUACUAUUACAACUUUAUCAAUAGCAGAAAGAAUGACCUAAGUCGCUCGAAACUCCUUCAAAAGCAAACACCUAACAGUAUAAUUAAGCACUACUGGAAAAGCAAAUUUUCAUCAGUGUUAUAAAAGAGACAUGCACACUUAGAACUCCAUAUAAAGAGACUAAGAGUAACCAGUCCUUCCUUCCCAUGAAUCAUAAAGCCAAGAGUUCGUUUUAUCUCCCAAAUUUCGUCUAACAAUGGAACCUAAACCAAGAACUUAUGGUGCUCGCACUGCUUGUAAAGAAAUUUAAAGCUGAAUCAUCAUAGGAUUGUCCUGACGUUGAAGGAGGAAACUAAAUCAGGAAAUGAAUUCACAUGAAUCAUCUUUUCAGCAUCAUAUAGAGUCAAGUAAAUCAAAUUUAUUAGGCUGCUCAUGUUCAUGUCCAAAGUAGUAGAAGAAAACGUAGAAAAGGGGAGAGAUUUCAGUGAACAGAAAAUAAUGAUGAAUGACAUAAGCCGGAUGUAUUCUAGACAUCAAAUAAGGAGGGAAAAAAAGCAAAAAAAAUUGAGAAAAUAGACAAGUGUAGAGGAAGAAAAUGAUAGACAAAGGAGGAAAGGAAAGAGAUUCAAGAAAAUAAAUAGAUGAUAAUAAUGCUGAAUAACAUAAAUAGGAUAUAAUUAAUGUUGUUCCAAAUUUUGUAGACAUCAAAUUAGGAGAAAAAAAAAAGCAACAAAAUGAGAAAAUAGAUAAAUGUAGUUGAAGAAAACGGUAGACAAAGGAGUAAAGGGGAGAGAUUUCAGGAAAAGAAAUAAAUGAUACCCCUAAUGAGGAAUGACAUAAAUAGGAUGUAUUUAAUUUGUGCAGAUUUUCUAGACAUCAAAUUAGGAGAAAAAGCAAAGUAAUGAGGGAAAAGUAUUUAAGUACUAUUUUAUCUAAGUUCAAUGAUCUGCACAUUUUAGUCUUUUCCUUUUCCAUGUCUUUACAUAUUCCAAGUUAAUUAAAAGAGGGAAAACUAUUAAAUCCUGACCUUUGAUUUACAUAUAUAUAAGAUUUAGAUUACAUAGAUUAGAGAUUAGAUUAUAGUUUCUGCAAGUACAAAGUAUUAGGGAUGAAGGGAAUUUGGGCUAGUGUCUGAGUUUUCUGAAGGCUUAUAAAGAGCAAAACUGGUGACUGGCAAAGCAAAAACAAAGAGAAAAGAAGCCCUUUUGUGAAUCGAAAUGGCGAGCGCAGAUAGUGAUCUUCAUACAGAAGAGGUUGCAGAAAACAAGAGAAACAACGGGCAGCUAAAAGGUCGCAAAGUCUCAUGGGCGAAGUUAUACCGUGUGGACUCCCUCAACUUGGAAGCUGGAAAAGUGUCAAAUUCUCUGGCUGGACAUGCCUCUAAGGUAUGGAUUUGUAAUUGGUGUCAGUGACAGAACUUGGAAUUUUAAUAAGGGAAUUCAAGAAAAUACAAGAAUUUCACAAAAGAAAAUCAAACUUGUGACCUAAAGCAGUUUUCGAGCCACCUUUGCCACUUCAGCGCACUACAAAAAAAAAAUCAGCUAAAAAAUUUGUUGGUAACUAUUGUUAAAUAACCGUAGUUAACAGGUUUUUUGCAUCGCUGAUCCGUCGUUAAAUAAGAUUAGCGAUGACAGAUUAGCAAUGGAUUUAUACUGUUUAGCGAUAGAAUGUGUCCAUCGCUAAUUCCUGUUAUUUUAUAGUGUAAUAAGUUCUCCUUAUAUCAAGAGGAUUUAAAAAAAUUAUUUAUAUAUAAAGAAAUUGUUUGCACUAUUUAGACAUUAAAAUUUUGUGAUAAAGAGCAUUCAAUUGAACCACUUCCUUUUAAUAUAGUUUUGUCUCUGAUUAGUGCAUCUUAACUCAUUAUAACAUGUCAUUUACUUUAUUUUCUGUAUUAUUAAUUCAGGCAUAUUAUAGAGAAUCAUACAUCUUAACCUGAUGCUCUAAAAAAUUAGAAACUAUCCACGCAAAAAAAUUAAACUACCAAGGCAUAUACUUAAGUUUUAUAUAGUACUGACUUUGUCAAUUCAAGAUUAAUACAAUUAGGUCAUUAGAAAUGUGAUUAUAAGUAACUGUCUAUAUUAAAUACUAUGAAUUAGUAGUCUGAAAAAAUGAUCCGAGGGUCUAUCGGAAACAGCCUCUCUAUCUCUAUAAGGUAGGGGUAAGGUCUGCGUAAACACUACCCUCCCAAGACCCCAUUUAUGGGAAUACGCUGGGUUUGUUGUUGUUGUUGUUGUUUAGUAGUCUGAAAAAUAAGCUAUGUAGUAACUUUGUAAAUUUGUAGCAAUCUGAAAAAUAUGGUAAGUAAUAACUUUGUAAAUUUGUACUGAUAUUAUAAAGAUAAUCUAUAGUGUCAAAUGUAUAAAUCAAUGUUUUGUACUAUAGCUAUUAGCUAGGUAUAUAGAUAAUCGAUGAUCAUUGAUGAUUAUACAUGUGAUAUUGUGCAUUAACUGCAGGAUGAUUGGAAGACGAUACUGAGUUUAGCAUUUCAGUCUGUAGGAGUUAUCUACGGAGACUUAGGGACUUCCCCUCUCUAUACUAUUCAAAGUACAUUUACUGAAAAAAUUGGAGAUAAGAAUGACAUUCUGGGCGUGUUGUCCCUCAUCAUAUAUACCAUAUUCCUCGUACCUAUGACUAAGUAUGUCUUCACUGUCUUAUGGGCAAACGACAAUGGCAAUGGUGAGUUAUAAGAUGUCCCUCACUGCUAUCUCAGUAGUAGUUUAAUUUUUCUGUCCCAUUUUAUGAACGCUAUCAUUAUAUGGAGAGUCAAACAGUUUGUCUUUGAUUAAAAUUGUCAAACUCUUCUUUAAUAUUUUGAAUUAGUAGUUAUGUUGUCUUACGACUAGCACUUUUGAAGUAGUUUCAUAUAUGUAAAUUUUAUUUCAAAAAAAUUGAAGAAUUUAUGCCCGAGCUCACACAAAAAAUUAAGUGCUAUGAUCGUUAACCCCAACAUGUUUAAUUAUUUGCUUCUUUUGCACACAGGGGGAGCAUUUGCGUUGUAUUCCUUAAUAUGUCGACAUGCAAAAGUGAGUCUCAUCCCAAACCAGGAGCCAGAGGAUAGAGAGCUUUCCCGCUACGGUCUGGACAUACCAUCAAAUCAAUUUAGAAGGGCUCAGAAUAUCAAACAUAAGUUGGAAAACACUAAAUUUGCAAGAUUGUUUCUUGUCUUCCUUGCGAUCCUUGGAACAUCGAUGGUCAUUGGCGAUGGAAUUAUCACUCCUUCCAUCUCAGGUCUCUAAAUAUCAAUAUACACUCUCUAUCCCAUCCCUUGAUCAUCAUAUCAAACUAGUACUGCCGAAAUUAGCUCAUAAAGAUAUAAACUGUCCAACCUGCUGAGUAUAUUUAAAUGACGAGUCAAUUUGGGCACAUCCCAAGUCAGCGCAUCUAAAGGUUGGGCUGGUCUUGAGGUAUAAAUAUGUAACCCAAAUUGAGCCAUAAUAUCACUUAUCAAAAGACUUCUAAAUUUUUUUUAAUUAGAUAUGUAAGAUAUAGUCAUACUCCCUCAGUUCUAUAUACACUACUAACAACAACAACGACCUAGUAAAAUCCCACAAUUGGGGUCUGGGCAGAGCAGUGUGUACGCACACCUUACCCAUUAUACACUAACAAUAAAAGAAUUUUUGUACUAUCAAGUCACCCAAAAGAAAACUAUAAGUAAUUGUCAAUAAUAAGUAGUACAAAUAAAAAAGACGGAAAACCUGCUACAACAGAAAAAAUAACACAAAUAAUAAUUAUAUAAGAUAAAUCAUUAUUUAAUCUGGUGUGUUUCAUGUGCAGUUCUCUCUGCCGUAAGUGGGAUCAAGCCUCUAGGCCAAGGUAUAGAAAUUAAAAGGAUGCUAAUGAAUUCUUCUUUUUCUCUUAUUCAAUUUCAAUGAUCAAACAACUGAAAAAAAUGGAUAAUGAUCCUUGCAGAAGCGAUUGUGGGUGUUUCCGUUGCAAUACUGGUAGCCCUCUUCUGUUUUCAACGUUUUGGUACAGACAAAGUGGGAUACUCAUUUGCUCCAGCCAUAUGCAUUUGGUUUUGUUUAAUAAGUGGUACCGGUAUGUACAACUUGUUCAAGCAUGAUGUGAGUGUCUUACGUGCCUUUAAUCCCAAAUACAUUUUUAACUACUUCAAAAGAAAUGGUAAAAAAGGAUGGCUUUCUCUUGGUGGAGUUAUCCUCUGCAUUACAGGUUAGAAUUUUAUUUACAGUAUCCGUAUAAUUAAACGGUUAUACCAUGCUACUUCACGUCUGUGUUCUUAUCUGGUGAAAGACUAUUUUAUGAAACUAUUACAGGAUCCGAAGCUAUGUUUGCUGAUUUGGGUCACUUUAGUGUGCGGUCUGUUCAAGUAAGUCUUCUGCAUUUUUUAUUUUCUUCUUUGCCCUAAGUAAUCAAAAAGAUGUACUUCCUCUUCCCUUUUUAUGUGGCACACUUUUCGUUUUAAAUUGUCCUUUAUUAUAUUUGAUAUUUGUUUCUAGUUUUUGGUCAAUCUAAGUGAACUCACCAUGUAUAUAUAUUGCAGAUAAGCUUCAGUUGCUUAGUAUUUCCAUCUAUCCUCUCUGCUUAUAUUGGGCAAGCUGCUUACCUUACAAAAUUCCCAGAAAAUGUGGGGAAUGCUUUUUAUGCCUCUGUUCCAGGCAAGUCUCCUAUAUAUAUGUGGCAAAUUUGUUAACUUUUUCCAUAUUCGUUAUAUAGAUAUUGAGGCCUUUUGGGUUAAAGCCCAAUGGGAAAACACUGUGAGGCACCAAAGAUCGGACCAAAGUGGACAAUAUUUUGGCAGUUGAGCCUGGGUCGUGAAAGAUAAACUAAUCAUAAAAUUAUUUACUUUAUAAAUACCAUGCAUAAUAUUGAUUUUGUUGGUGUUGCUUACAGAUCCACUUUACUGGCCAACAUUUGUAGUGGCUGUUGUUGCGGCCAUUAUUGCAAGUCAAGCAAUGAUAUCUGGAGCUUUUUCUAUUGUGGCUCAGGCCCAAAGUCUAGGUUGUUUCCCAAGGGUGAAGGUAAUUCACACAUCUGCAAAGCACGAGGGUCAGGUUUACAUUCCCGAGUUGAAUUACUUCCUCAUGGUUGCAUGUGUUGUAGUUACUCUCAGCUUCAAAACCACAGGAAAUUUGGGGAAUGCUUAUGGAAUUUGUGUGGUUAGUGCUGAGCUCAUAACCACAAAUAUGGUGACAUUAGUAAUGCUUCUUAUAUGGAAAAUUAGCAUAUGGCGGAUUAUCUUAUUCUACGUGGUGUACGUUACCAUAGAAUCUACAUAUCUAUCCGCUCAGCUGACAAAGUUCGUGCAAGGUGGUUUUCUACCUUUGGCUUUCUCAUUUGUGCUCGUGAUCAUUAUGGGGAUUUGGCACUAUGUUCAAAAACAUAGAUAUGAAUUCGAGCUCAAGAACAAGGUUUCAAGUGACUACAUUACGGACUUAGCCAAAAAUCCAGACAUCAAAAGAGUACCUGGAAUAGGACUACUCUACUCUGAAUUAGUACAGGGGAUUCCACCAAUAUUUCCCCACUUUGUCUCCAAUAUUCCGUCGGUCCAUUCUAUUAUAGUUCUGGUGUCAAUUAAAUCCAUUCCUAUAAACAAAGUAGCGCUGGAGGAACGGUUCUUGUUCAGACAUGUUCAGCCUAGAGAAUACAAGGUGUUCCGAUGUGUAGUUAGGUUAGGGUACAAUGAUCAACUUGGGAAACCAGAGGAAUUUGAAAACCAAUUGGUGGAACAUUUGAAAGAGUUCAUUCGAGAUGAAUACUAUAUUCUUGCAGCACAUGCUGAUCAAGUUGCAGAUAGAGAAAUUGAACCUGCAGUAUCUGGCCAACUAGUGGCUGGAAAUUCAUCCCGGGUCUACACGGAGGAAGAGCUGGAGCAACAAGUAGAUUCUAGAGUUUCAUCAGCUGGUUCGAUUCGAUCAAUGAACACUUCAGCAGCUCAGUCGAAUCAUUCAUCAAAUAGAAUACAAAUGGUCCCACCAAGUUUGGAAGAAGUAGAAGUGAUGCAGUUUGUGGAAAAAGCAAAGGAGCAAGGAGUGUUCUAUCUCCUGGGAGAAGCAGAGGUGGUCACUAAACAAGAUUCUUCAUUCUUGAAGAAAUUUGUUGUCAACUAUGCCUAUAAUUUCUUGCGCAAGAACUUCAGGCAAGGGGAGAAAGUUAUGGCCAUUCCCAGGACUAGGCUGCUAAGGGUCGGCAUGACUUAUGAAUUAUAAUUGUGACGUAUCAGACAGUAAUAAACUUACUACCAAAUACUCUCAUAACAAACAAACAGAGCAAAAGAUCUCUGCAUUUUUCCUAAAACUUUAUUUUUAUCCUUUAAUACUGUGUGCAAGCUUUCAAUUUGAGUUAAUGUACUAUUAAAACCUGUUUGGAAAUGUUUACUCCCUCUAUCCUCUCUAUCCCAUGUUCUAACUUUGUUUGCCCCUAUUAAUAUUGAUGACUUUCUACUAUUAAAAAACACUCCUUAAAUAGCUCUAAUUUGGAAGAAGUCUAGUCUAGUACUUCGGUAUGACCUUCCUAUAUGUAUGUAAUAAGUAUAAUUUCAACAGAUUAAUGAGUAAACGUAGAAAUUCACGCUGAAAACAUAUAUUGACCAAGGUGUUUCGACCUUGAAGUAGAAUGAGAAACAAGAAAAGGAACAAAAUUAGUCUGAUCAGCUUCUCUUCCCGAUAGAGCCUUAUCCCCACCAAUAAGAUUUGAUCAGCAUAUAUAACACUAAAUUUGUAUCUGUCCUGAACCAUUUACAUUCAGCAGAGCAAACAUUGGACUAAAAUCUUGGAGAGUUCAUGCUAAUAGCAUGAAGCACAAUACUACAAUAUUGCAUUUCAUUUUCAAAAAAUAUUUUCUGAACCAUAGAAAACUAGAAGAACAUCAGUAACAAGGUAAUACCUGGAUUUUUGAGCUGUCAAAUAUAAAACCAUUUAGGGCAUAUGUUUUGCCACUGAAAAGUACACAAAAGCAAAUUGACCAUGAGUCCAUGAUUUACCAAACGAACUACACAGAUCUGAACAGAAAAAGAAAGCAUACGAAAGAGAGCAUUAGCAAGUCAAAAUUAACUCCGAAAGAAGCACUUCAUGAAACAUCCCAAAAUAUACUCCAAUUGAUUUAUUACACUUAUUAUCAGGACAAUCAACACAUAGUUCCUUAAUUCCCUAUUACAUUUCAUGAUUACAACAAAUAAAAAAAAAAUUUAAAAAAAGUAGCAUUGUGUAAAGGAAUCAGUACAAAGUUCACCUACAAAAUAAAGAGAAGAAAGCAAACAAUCUCUAACGAGCAAAGUCACAGAGACUUACCGGUAGAACGACGGUUGCGAAAGGAAGGAGAAGCGGAGAGGCAAGUCUAGCCUCUUUCCAGUCACUGAUCAGCAUGGGCGAAGUAGCCGUCGAUCGAGAGAAAAAAUGACAAAGGCUAAUUGGUUUUUAAUUUGGGUUGGAAUCGUUUUUUUU